rnacentral:rRNA from 1 species
UACAGAGGUCUCAAGCGUUGUUCGGAUUCAUUGGGCGUAAAGGGCGCGUAGGCGGCGGGGCAAGUCGGGUGUGAAAUCUCAGAGCUCAACUCUGAAACUGCACUCGAUACUGCUUUGCUUGAGGACUGGAGAGGAGAUUGGAAUUCACGGUGUAGCGGUGAAAUGCGUAGAUAUCGUGAGGAAGGCCAGUGGCGAAGGCGGAUCUCUGGACAGUUCCUGACGCUGAGGCGCGAAGGCCAGGGGAGCAAACGGG